GAAGUAGACUUCCGCAAGGGACCUCUGUAGAGGUGCUGCAUGGCUGUCGUCAGCUCGUGUCGUGAGAUGUUGGGUUAAGUCCCGCAACGAGCGCAACCCUUGUCUUCUGUUGCCAUCGGGUCAAGCCGGGCACUCUGAAGAGACUGCCGGUGACAAACCGGAGGAAGGUGGGGAUGACGUCAAGUCAGCAUGGCCUUUAUGUCUGGGGCCACACACGUGCUACAAUGGCCGGUACAAACCGUCGCGAGCCCGCAAGGGGGAGCUAAUCGGAGAAAGCCGGUCUCAGUUCGGAUUGUAGGCUGCAACUCGCCUGCAUGAAGUUGGAAUCGCUAGUAAUCGCGGAUCAGCACGCCGCGGUGAAUACGUUCCCGGGCCUUGUACACACCGCCCGUCACAUCACGAAAGCUGGCUGUACUAGAAGUAGCUGCGCCAACCCGCAAGGGAGGCAGGUUCCUAAGGUAUGGUCAGUGAUUGGGGUGAAGUCGUAACAAGGUAACCGU
rnacentral:rRNA from 1 species